rnacentral:rRNA from 1 species
AUUGAACGCUGGCGGCAGGCCUAACACAUGCAAGUCGAGCGGAGCGGCGGACGGGUGAGUAAUGCCUAGGAAUCUGCCUGGUAGUGGGGGAUAACGUCCGGAAACGGGCGCUAAUACCGCAUACUAUCAGAUGAGCCUAGGUCGGAUUAGCUAGUGGGUGGGGUAAAGGCCUACCAAGGCGACGAUCCGUAACUGGUCUGAGAGGAUGAUCAGUCAAAUGGGAACGGAGCAACGGUCCAGACUCUUCCGGGAGGAAGAAGUGGGGAAUAUUGGAAAAUGGGCGAAAGCCUGCUCCAGCCAUGCCGCGUGUGUGAAGAAGGUCUUCGGAUUGUAAAGCACUUUAAGUUGGGAGGCGUUACCAACAUAAUAAGCACCGGCUAACUUCGUGCCAGCAGCCGCGGUAAUAC